rnacentral:tRNA from 1 species
UGUAGCUCAAUAGUAGAGCACUUGCCUAGCACACAUGAGGUCCUGGGUUCAAAUCCUAGUA